GAGGUCCCGCCUGCCCUGUGACUAUAAGUUUAACGGCCGCGGUAUUUUGACCGUGCAAAGGUAGCGCAAUCACUUGUCUUUCAAAUGAAGACCUGUAUGAAUGGCACGACGAGGGCUUUACUGUCUCCUUCCCCCAGUCAAUGAAAUUGAUCUCCCCGUGCAGAAGCGGGGAUUAUACCAUAAGACGAGAAGACCCUAUGGAGCUUUAGACUUAAGGCAGACCAUGUUAAUAACCCCAAGUUAAAGGGAAAAACUAAUUGGCCCCUGUCUCCAUGUCUUUGGUUGGGGCGACCGCGGGGAAAGCAAAACCCCCAUGUGGAUUAGGAGAACCCUCCUACAGCCAAGAGCUACAGCUCUAAGCAACAGAACAUCUGACCAUCAAGAUCCGGCCCAUGGCCGAUCAACGGAACCAGUUACCCUAGGGAUAACAGCGCAAUCCUCUUUUAGAGCCCAUAUCGACAAGGGGGUUUACGACCUCGAUGUUGGAUCAGGACAUCCUAUUGGUGCAGCCGCUAUUAAGGGUUCGUUUGUUCAACGAUUAAAGUCCU
rnacentral:rRNA from 1 species